ACAGUAUUGGUGUAGGGGUAACAUAAGGGCUUUCCAUGCCCUUGCGGAGGGUUCGAGUCCCUCAUACUGUA
rnacentral:tRNA from 1 species